CAGUCGCGUCGGCUGGAAAUCAACCUUGCUUUUGCUGGGUGUACUUGUCUGUGUGGUAGGUUAACAUCAAUUUUGGUUAUCAUAAAAUGGUUGGAGGAAUGUAGCUUCGAUCUCGUAUUGAAGUGUUAUAGCCUUCGGCAGAUGUGAUGAUCGAGAUUGAGGAUUG
rnacentral:rRNA from 1 species